AUUAUACCGUGAAACUGCGAAUGGCUCAUUAAAUCAGUUAUCGUUUAUUUGAUAGUACCUUACUACUUGGAUAACCGUGGUAAUUCUAGAGCUAAUACAUGCUGAAAACCUCGACUUCGGAAGGGGUGUAUUUAUUAGAUAAAAAACCAAUGCCCUUCGGGGCUCCUUGGUGAUUCAUAAUAACUUCUCAGAUCGCAUGGCCUUGCGCCGGCGACGGUUCAUUCAAAUUUCUGCCCUAUCAACUUUCGAUGGUAAGGUAUUGGCUUACCAUGGUUUCAACGGGUAACGGGGAAUUAGGGUUCGAUUCCGGAGAGGGAGCCUGAGAAACGGCUACCACAUCCAAGGAAGGCAGCAGGCGCGCAAAUUACCCAAUCCCGACACGGGGAGGUAGUGACAAUAAAUACUGAUACAGGGCUCUUUUGGGUCUUGUAAUUGGAAUGAGUACAAUUUAAACCUCUUAACGAGGAACAAUUGGAGGGCAAGUCUGGUGCCAGCAGCCGCGGUAAUUCCAGCUCCAAUAGCGUAUAUUAAAGUUGUUGCAGUUAAAAAGCUCGUAGUUGAACCUUUGGCCUGGCUGGCAGGUCCGCCUCACCGCGUGCACUUGUCCGGCCGGGCCUUCUUUUCUGGAGAACCGCAUGCCCUUCACUGGGUGUGUUGGGGACCAGGACUUUUACUUUGAAAAAAUUAGAGUGUUCAAAGCAGGCCUUUGCUCGAAUACGUUAGCAUGGAAUAAUAGAAUAGGACGUGCGGUCCUAUUUUGUUGGUUUCUAGGACCGCCGUAAUGAUUAAUAGGGACAGUCGGGGGCAUCAGUAUUCAAUUGUCAGAGGUGAAAUUCUUGGAUUUAUUGAAGACUAACUACUGCGAAAGCAUUUGCCAAGGAUGUUUUCAUUAAUCAGUGAACGAAAGUUAGGGGAUCGAAGACGAUCAGAUACCGUCGUAGUCUUAACCAUAAACUAUGCCGACUAGGGAUCGGGCGGUGUUACUAUUUUGACUCGCUCGGCACCUUACGAGAAAUCAAAGUGUU
rnacentral:rRNA from 1 species